UACGAGGGGGGCGAGCGUUGUUCGGAAUUAUUGGGCGUAAAGGGUGCGUAGGCGGUUUGGUAAGUCUUGUGUGAAAGCUCCGAGCUCAACUCGGAAAAGCAUUGGAAACUAUUCCGCUAGAGGGUCGGAGGGGAGACUGGAAUUCUCGGUGUAGCAGUGAAAUGCGUAGAUAUCGAGAGGAACACCAGUGGCGAAGGCGAGUCUCUGGACGACUCCUGACACUGAGGCACGAAAGCUAGGGGAGCAAACGGG
rnacentral:rRNA from 1 species